AAGAUGAGAUUUCCCAUAGCGUAAGCUAGUAAGACCCCUUGAAGACUACAAGGUUGAUAGGUCAGAGGUGUAAGUAUGGCAACAUAUUUAGCUGACUGAUACUAAUAGGUCGAGGGCUUGACCAAUAA
rnacentral:rRNA from 1 species